rnacentral:rRNA from 1 species
UCUUCCACAAUGGACGAAAGUCUGAUGGAGCAACGCCGCGUGAGUGAAGAAGGGUUUCGGCUCGUAAAGCUCUGUUGGUAGUGAAAGAAAGAUAGAGGUAGUAACUGGCCUUUAUUUGACGGUAAUUACUUAGAAAGUCACGGCUAACUACGUGCC